GGAUUCAACUUUUAACAGAUGUAACUUAUAAUUCAGAUUAAGGAACAGACGUUUUCGGGACACAGUGAUAGUGUUGACCAGUUAUGUUGGCAUGAAACCAAUCCUGAUUUGCUCAGCACUGCCAGUGGUGACAAAGCAAUGAAAGUUUAGGAUGCAAGAAUAAAGAAAAACAUUGCAACAGUUAACACCAAGGGAGAAAAUAUCAACAUUACCUCGUCACCUGGUGGUAAUUCGAUCGCUGUAGGAAAUAAAGACGAUCUAAUCACAUUUAUUGAUGCCAGAACUUUCAAAAUAAGAAUGGAGAAUCUGUUCAAAUUUGAAGUCAAUGAAAUAGAACGAAGCAAGGCCAGCAAUCUGUUUUUCUUAAAGAGUGGGCAAGGCUGCAUCCAGAUAUGAGAAGUUGACGACAGUCCACGUAACACAGGCUUACCCUGCCAAACUUGGAUUUGCAUCGAAUUUGACCCGAUUGGACGGUAUUUCGCCACUGGGUCUGCUGACACCCUGGUUUCGCUGUGGGAUGCCGAUGAAAUCGCUUGUUUGCGCACUUCCUCGAGGUUGGAUUAGCCAGUCUGCACCCUGAUUUUCAGCCACAAUGGAUCUAUGCUAGCGUCUGGGUCAGAAGACCUUUUGAUCGAUGUCAGCCAUGUAGGCAUUGAUGAACGUGUAAUAGCCAUCCAGUGGACAGGCCUGCUUUCACGGCCGCCUGGUACACACGCUCUCAUCUACUUGCCUACGCUUGCGAAAGAUAAAGAUGACGGAAAUCGAGAUCCUGGAACAGUGAAGCUCUUUGGUCUCUCUAACGAGUAUGGCCCAGUGGAAUCGGUGGCUAAGCUUCACGCGUUUUAUGUAUCGUUUAUUUGUCCUUACAGAUUGAUCUUACUCGUAUCAUGAAUUCAUUUGU